UACGUAGGGGGGCAAGCGUUGUCCGGAUUUAUUGGGCGUAAAGAGCGUGUAGGCGGCCAUACAGGUCCGUUGUGAAAACUGGAGGCUUAACCUCCAGACGUCGAUGGAAACCGUAUGGCUAGAGUCCGGAAGAGGAGAGUGGAAUUCCUGGUGUAGCGGUGAAAUGCGCAGAUAUCAGGAAGAACACCCGUGGCGAAGGCGGCUCUCUGGGACGGUACUGACGCUGAGACGCGAAAGCGUGGGUAGCAAACAGG
rnacentral:rRNA from 1 species